AAUGAACGCUGGCGGCAUGCCUAACACAUGCAAGUCGAACGAAGGCUUCGGCCUUAGUGGCGCACGGGUGCGUAACGCGUGGGAAUCUGCCCUUGGGUUCGGAAUAACAGUUAGAAAUGACUGCUAAUACCGGAUGAUGUCGUGAGACCAAAGAUUUAUCGCCCAAGGAUGAGCCCGCGUAGGAUUAGCUAGUUGGUGGGGUAAAGGCCCACCAAGGCGACGAUCCUUAGCUGGUCUGAGAGGAUGAUCAGCCACACUGGGACUGAGACACGGCCCAGACUCCUACGGGAGGCAGCAGUGGGGAAUAUUGGACAAUGGGCGAAAGCCUGAUCCAGCAAUGCCGCGUGAGUGAUGAAGGCCUUAGGGUUGUAAAGCUCUUUUACCAGGGAUGAUAAUGACAGUACCUGGAGAAUAAGCUCCGGCUAACUCCGUGCCAGCCGCCGCCGUAAGAC
rnacentral:rRNA from 1 species